AGAGUUUGAUCAUGGCUCAGGAUGAACGCUAGCUACAGGCUUAACACAUGCAAGUCGCGGGGCAGCAUGAAGGAUGCUUGCAUUCUUUGAUGGCGACCGGCGCACGGGUGAGUAACGCGUAUCCAACCUGCCUGUUACCACGGCACAGCCCGUCGAAAGGCGGAUUAAUGCCGUAUGUGGUCCUUUGCGGGCAUCUAAUUAGGACUAAAGGUUUAGCGGUAACAGAUGGGGAUGCGUCCGAUUAGCUAGACGGCGGGGUAACGGCCCACCGUGGCUACGAUCGGUAGGGGUUCUGAGAGGAAGGUCCCCCACACUGGAACUGAGACACGGUCCAG
rnacentral:rRNA from 1 species